rnacentral:rRNA from 1 species
CAGUCGCCGCGGUAAUACAGAGGGUGCGAUCGUUAAUCGGAUUUACUGGGCGUAAAGCGUGCGUAGGCGGCUUCUUAAGUCGGAUGUGAAAUCCCUGAGCUUAACUUAGGAAUUGCAUUCGAUACUGGGAAGCUAGAGUAUGGGAGAGGAUGGUAGAAUUCCAGGUGUAGCGGUGAAAUGCGUAGAGAUCUGGAGGAAUACCGAUGGCGAAGGCAGCCAUCUGGCCUAAUACUGACGCUGAGAGACGAAAGCUAGGGGAGCAAAUGGGAUUAGAUACCCCCGUAGUCCCUGUCUCUUAUAC